rnacentral:lncRNA from 1 species
AUGUGUCUGCAGCCGGUGAGGAAGCCCAGGCACACAGAAUCCUGCAGACCUCCCCAGCCCCUCCGCAUCCACAGAGAGCACUCAGGAACCAAAUGGACAUUUUCUCCCAGGUACACUUACUGUAAUGAAAUCCAUAGACUGGACAAGAAGCAUCCUUUAGGUAGGCUCUUUUAUACAUUAAGUGGAAACUCUUCUUCUGUGUGUUGUCUUUUCAGAAGGAAGCACUGUCCCUCCCUGUCUGUGGAAAGGCUUCACCCAGACACACAGAAAGGAGGGCCGGAGGAACAUGAACUCUUUACUGUGUGUGUGUGAUGGGUGUGAUUUAUUGCACCUUCCUUUAAGGCCUGGAGGCUGAUGCAGGGGGCAGUGGAGGCGGCAUGACGUAGGGUCAUUAUUGUACCCUUGGGCAGCACGGGUGUUUUCUAAGUGCUCUGGAAUCACUUAUUUACUAUCCCCACAGCACCUCCAGGAAGGAAGGUCAGCAUUAUCAUCCUGGCUUGGGAGGAGAUGGAUUUGAAACCCAGAAAGGUAGGAGGCAGGCCACGCUGAAUCAGUGCUGAGCCAUCUCCUCCAGCCAGGAUCUCAGUUAAUCUAUUCCUUCGGGAAAGGUAGCACUUUCCAUAGCCUCUGAAGACACCUGGAUGGGGAAAAGCCAGGGCACAAGCUUCAAGAUGCCGAUUCAUUCUGGUUAUUUCAGGAGAAAAAGUGAAUAGAAACUGAAAUUUAAUAUGUAUAUUCAGGAGAUCCACAAACUCUCUAGCGGUGAGGAACUAAAAGCAGUUGUAUAAGCCACACAUAGAAGUUGUUUACCGAGUGUCAAGGUUACCAGAUCCACGCUGUUUGUUAGUAGUAGAGUAGCCCACACCCAGUGGGCAGGCAGGGGAACAGGGCUGCAGGUCCCAAAGGUGCCCUAGCUCUUCUUAGCUGCCCUGCUUUGUGUUCUGUAAGGGAAUGGGUAAGAUUGGAGGUUUACUUGGAGCAGUAAAUUGGAACGCGAAGCAAUGCAUUCUGAUUCACCUCAGCCUCCCUACCCCCACCACACACACACACACACACACACACACACACACACAGGCAAUGCAGGAUUUUAACCUGCUGGCUUCACUAGAGAACCAGGAAGGAUGAGACCUGGGUUUGCAAGCUCAAAGAGGCAGGGUUGUCUCCCUCUCUGCUGGAAGAGAGAUGGAGGGGAGAUGCAGAGAUGAAGCCCAGAGAAAACCUCAAUGUAGUGGGUAUGAGUGUGGACCUGGCAAUAAAUAUGAGGCUGGCCCAAGGACCGUCAGCAUCAGCAUCACCAGGGAGCUCGUUAGAAAUGCCGAAUAUUGGCUCCCACACUGAUGUACCUGAUAGUCAGACUCUCUGAGGGCAGAGUCCAGGAAGCUGUGUAAUAAGUGCUCCAGGUGAUUCUUAUGUGUGCUAAAGACUGAGAAGCACUAGCUCUGGGGUCAGACAGCCUGCUCCAUCACUUUGGCUAUGUGACCCGACAGCCUCUCUAGGCCUCCAUUCCUACCUUUGUAAAUUGCAUACAGUGGCAAUACCUACCCCUUGGGGUUGUUGGGUAGUGAGAAUCAUAUGAGAAAUUGUGUGUAAAGCACUUUGAGCAGAGCCUGACACAUAAGGAACCCCCACUAAAGCAUACAGAAAAAAAAAAUACAGACUGUCCCUUCUUCAACUCUUAAACCCCACUUCCACCCAGAACUUGUGCUCCUGACUACCAUCCAAGGUUAACUCUUGGCCCAUGGUCAACUCGAACUGACAACAAACACUUGGAUCCUGACGAAGUCAUUCGUGACCCAUUCAUUCACAGAUCACAGGCAGUCCACAGGCAUUAUCCUUUAGUCCCUCACUAAAAUCCCUGUCUUUUCAACAGCUCUGGAUUUUGCCAAUCUUAGCUUGGUGAAUCUUCCCAAGAGGACAGAGACUUUCAGAGAAUCACCCAUAAAAUCUAGUGGUGCUUGGGGAAAUAGUGGGCUUGAACUCACUUCUCAUCUUGGUUUGCUGCUUAAUCAAUGUUUGCCCAGUAAAUGAAUGACUAUCAUUCAACUUGGAAAAUACAGUCACAGGUUAUGGUGACAGGAGACUGGACUGGGUUUCUUCUCUCAGUUUAUUGCAGAGAUUUAUUUAUGGUUCAUUGAUCCAUUUAGAGAUGCCAGGGCAGCUUGGCUUAUUGUGGCAUCCUGCCAGUUUUGCAUGCAUGCCAAACAAGCUCCUUUCCAGAUAAAAAUUAUCACAAUUUGUCGCACAAAUUUAAAACAAAACUUUAAAUCAUUCCUCAGAUAUGCAUUUCAAAAAAACAAAGAAAAGUUAAUAAGCCAUGGAUUCAUUUGGUGUAUUGUUAGAGAAAGUGAGAGUCAAAUCCUAAGACUAAUGAGCCUGGUAAACAUAAAUGUUGAUGGUGUGUGUGUGUGUGUGUGUGCAUGUGUGUGUGUGUGAGAGAGAGAGAGAGAAUGUAAACAAAGGAAGGCAGCCAGGAAGGAAAAAAAAAAAAAAAAGAUUCCAAUAGUACGGGGACAGGGGGAACCACAACAUAUAUAUGUAGUGAUACACAAAAAGGGGUCCAAGAACUUUUUCCCUCCUCCAAUCCUGUUGAGACCAAGGAGUUCUCUAUACUAGUGCUUCUCAAACUAGCCAUGUGUGAAGGACAAGUUUUUCUUUUGUUUUGCUUUAUCAUUUCCUGUCAUGGACCAAUGUUAUAAAUACAAUAAAAUGAAUUCUUUUGAAAAUUAUGUAAAAUAAAAGCACACUAACUACAUGGUGCUGUCCUUGCAGAGAGAUCAUUCCCUCAGCUUGCCCUCCCAUCAAGAGAGGAAACUAAAUGCUAUAUAAUCCACUUGGACAAUUCUAAGACUAUCAAGUGAGAAAAGGAUAGGACAUGGUUGCCCAUAGUUGUGGGUGACAGUGGUAGCAGACGUAGCCUAGCUCCCCAACCCCUCAUUCUGGAUAUAGCCUGCUGGUCUCACGAAUCAAGAAGUUUCACGCUAGAAACUCUCAGCAGCUCAGCAGAGGCCUAACCAAGGCAGGUACUAUAAGCAAACCUCCUACUCUGUCCCACUUUUGCUUUUUUCCUGGUUGACCAUGUCACACGGAGUCACGUACAUGCCCAGUGGAGAUAUAGAUUUGACAAGGCUUAGUAUGCAUAUUUGUUACUUAUUUUCUCUUUUAAUCAUAGUUACUUCUUUAAUCAUGGCAAGUAGUGCUUGCAAGAAGCAAAGACUGAGGAAACA